UAGGGAAUCUUCCACAAUGGACGCAAGUCUGAUGGAGCAACGCCGCGUGAGUGAAGAAGGUUUUCGGAUCGUAAAGCUCUGUUGUUGGUGAAGAAGGAUAGAGGCAGUAACUGGUCUUUAUUUGACGGUAAUCAACCAGAAAGUCACGGCUAACUACGUGCCAGCAGCCGCGGUAAUACGUAGGUGGCAAGCGUUGUCCGGAUUUAUUGGGCGUAAAGCGAGCGCAGGCGGAAUGAUAAGUCUGAUGUGAAAGCCCACGGCUCAACCGUGGAACUGCAUCGGAAACUGUCAUUCUUGAGUGCAGAAGAGGAGAGUGGAACUCCAUGUGUAGCGGUGGAAUGCGUAGAUAUAUGGAAGAACAGCCAGAUGGC
rnacentral:rRNA from 1 species